UUUUUUUUUAUGUCGAGCAUUAGGAGAAUAUAAAAAGUUCUAUUUUUUUUUUGGGAUAGACACAUGAGUUGUGCCAUUUCCGAGAAAAUAAAUAUAUUUUCAUGAAUAUUUUCACGUUCAUUAACGUAGAUUAUUCUUGAUUGAUAAUGUGAAUGAUAUGAGACUUGAUUUUAUUCAUAAGAACUUUGAGGAAUAAUUUGUACAUGAUGUUACAUAGUAUAAUAGUCUAAAAUUCUCCAUCUGAAUAGCAUUAGAUUGUUUUGAAAUGAAAGAGAUCUUACCUGUCCGGGAAAGAGAUAAAAGAGGUAAUUAAGUCUAUAAAAUUUUGGUCUAAGCUUUAAUAAAGCCCUUAUGUCAUAACAGUACUUUGAAUUAGAUUUCUAAUCUAAUUUUUUUCUUCUCGACAAACUACAUUAAGAAAAGUUGUCUCGAUAAGUUAAUGAUAACAGAUUUCCUAAUUUGAGUUUUUUUUUGUCGGAAUCAUUUUCGUAGCUCGAAGUCGAAAUAAUUGUUUGCACAGAGCAAACAUUGUUAAGAAUUGAUUCAUAGUAGUUACAAUGUUUUAAGUAAUUUAAGUAUGUUUCAAGAAGUGAUCCAUGAUCUAAAAGUUAUAGGAUAGUUCAUAAAACUAACUCAAUCAUGGUGCUUAUUAACUUGUAAUAUCUUUAAUUUUUCUGACAAACUAUUCGUAAAUAUAGAUAUUGCAGCGAUUAAAUUCAAAAAAAUAAGGAUUUAUACCCAUCGUCUCCCGAACCGUCUUUCUCUCACCCUCGGGUGGAACACAGAGACUGCGGUGGCGUGGGAGUGCGAGAGAGAAAAAGAAGGUACAGAGGGUUAAAAGAAGAGGGAAAAAGCAGAAGAAAAGAACGAGAAGGAAAGGAGCAGAGGGGAAGGAAAAGAGCGACGAUAGGGACGCAUCGCCUGUGAGAGAAGGAAGAAAGCAAAACAGAGAGGGAGAAAGAAACGAGAGACGAAAGAAAGGAGAAGGAGGGAUGGAAGAGAAGAAGAAAGAGAGACGAGAAGAGAGAAGGAAGAGAAACGAGAGGAAGAAAAAGGAAAAAAGAAAGGGUUCGUGCACUUGAUCGGCACCUGCGAAAAGAAAGAAAAGCAGAGAAAAAAAAAAAGGGAAGAAAACAAGGAGAAAAAUAAGAAGAAAAUUGUGGAGGACUUAGUUUUGAUAUUAAAUCUAAGUUCAGAAAAAAUAUUUGAGGUAUGAUUUUGAAUUCUCUCAUAUUUUUAUUAAAUAAGAUAUAUGUUUUGAAUUAUAAAUUGAUGAAUCUUGAUAUUCUCAAUUAAUUGGAUAUUCAUGUAAUGAAGGAAAUAAAAGGAAUAAAAAAUAAUGAUAUUGAAAUAAUAAGAAAAGAAAAUAUUAGAAUGUAUUCGUGGUGUAAUGUGCACGGGACUCAUUAGUUCCUUACAGGUUGAAAUCUAAAGGUGAAUUAUCGGCUUUGGUGAAGUCAUGGAACUCACGUAGUUAGUUCAAUGCAAGUUUUGUUCUAAAAGAUUAGGAGAAUAUAUAGACUCGUUUAGCUUAAUCUGAAGUUUUAGUUGCUUCCGCCAAUGCUUGAUAGAAUGAAUUUAAAUGAACAAAACAAGAAGAAGAUCGAGGAAUGUUUCCACCUUACAGCAGCAUCACAUAAGCUGGUGCGCACUUGUCAUGUAUAAUGUACAUGAGGCCUAUACAAAACUCAGCUCUAAUGUCAACUUAGCCUUUGAGCUUAUACCGCGGACGUCUUCCAAAGGCAACAUAGCUCCAAGCAACUCACAACAUUUCAAGAUACGGAUUGCUCACAGAUCUCGGGAGUCACAAGAGUGCUUGCAUGGAACGAAAACGAGGGCGCUUCUUCGUAUUUGUACGUGCACCUCCGCCGCCGACAUCCUUCUUCCUUUUCCUCCUCGUAAUCUUGUCUUCCGCAGGCCUAUCAGCUUCCCAGCUCGGAACUCCUACCGCUGAAUUCGAUACAGAUCGCCUCGCUAUCCUCUCCUUCAAGACUCUCGUCUCGGGCCCAUCCGGAGCACUGGUCUCCUGGGGGAACAGCUCCCUCCAUUUCUGCCGGUGGCGAGGGGUGAACUGCCGUAAUCAUGACGGUGAACCGAGGGUCACAGCUCUGGUGUUGGAGUCCCUCCGGUUGAAGGGUAAAUUAUCUCCGUCCCUUGCUAACCUCACCUUCCUCAGGAGACUCCGCCUCGGCAACAACAGCCUCGAGGGUUCCAUUCCGCAGGAGCUCGGCUUUCUAUCCCGGCUUCGGUCCCUCAAUCUAAGUUACAAUCAUCUGGGUGGGAUGAUUCCCACUUCGCUGCUCCAGAAUUGUUCCGAACUCCGAAUCUUCAGCCUGAGUCAUAACAAUCUCAACCGGACAAUCCCACGCAAUCUCAGCAACUGUUUGUAUCUACGAGUUAUUGAUUUGGAUCGGAACAUGCUCGAAGGAAACAUCCCCAGCGAUAUCGGCUCUCUACCGAAGCUAGAGACAGUCGCCAUCUGGGACAAUCUCCUCGAGGGAAGCAUUCCUCCGGAGAUCGGGAAGCUUGCAAGCUUAACAGGACUUCACAUGCGUUUCAACCAUCUCGAUGGACCUAUUCCUGCUGCGAUAGGAAACCUCUCCUCUCUUACCCAACUUGAUCUGUCCAAUAAUCUUCUUGCAGGAGCCAUCCCUGCUGCGGAACCUCACCUCUCUUCGCGGGCUUCUGCUGUGGAAUAAUCGUCUCACGGGAGCCAUCCCAUCCGACAUACGCAAUCUUGUUGGGUUGGAGAGACUUUUACUGAGUUCUAACGAAUUCACCGGCACCAUCCCACCCGAGAUUGGGAAGCUGGAGAAGGUAUCUGCCGUGUUUUUACAGAACAACAACCUGGUUGGCACCAUUCCCAAUACUCUGUGGUCUUUGCGGAACUUGGACGCGUUGCUUCUCCGUCACAAUCACCUGGAAGCGAAGAAUGCUGCUGAGUGGAGUUUCUUAGAUGCCUUGACCAACUGCACCCGCCUCAGGAUAUUGGAUCUAUCAAUCAAUCAUCUGUCCGGCGUGUUGCCAAAAUCCGUAGCCAAUCUGUCCAAAACCCUGCAAUGGUUAAAAAUCCACGACAACCAAAUAGCUGGAUCCAUUCCAACAGAGAUCGGAAAUCUCAGUAAUUUGACCGUGAUUACCAUGUCCUCCAACCUUGUUGACGCCACCAUUCCCGCAGCACUCGGAAGCCUUCGGAGGUUAAUACGGAUGGAUUUGAGCGAGAAUUACUUGGUGGGUGAAAUCCCUGCCACCCUCGGCAACCUCAGUCGAUUAACCUCUCUUCUUCUGUCCUCCAAUGAACUGCGUGGAUCCAUACCUCCGAGUCUUGGAAAGUGCCCAUUGGAUACCUUGAACUUGGCAUUCAACAAGUUAAGCGGUGGGGGUGCCAAAAGAGAUCUUUUACAUCCUCAGUCUCACCAAACUCUUCGAUAUUUCACACAAUUCAUUGACAGGAUCACUGCCGCCGGAAAUUGGGAACCUGAGGAACAUCCAAAUUGUGGAUGUCUCCAGCAAUAGAUUGUCGGGUGAAAUUCCAGGCACCAUUGCUCGAUGUGAAGUCUUGCAGUACCUUCACAUGCAUGGGAACUUUUUCCAUGGGCACAUUCCAUCGUCAUUUGGGCAGUUAAAAGGGCUUCGAGUGCUGGACAUUUCAAGCAACGAUUUAUGGGGACGUACACCAGAUUUUGUCGGGAGCUCUCGGAGCAUGACUUACCUUAAUCUCUCCUACAACAAUCUGGACGGUGAAGUGCCAACGGAUGGGAUUUUCGGAAACGUGAGUGCUUUCUCAGUGUUGGGAAACAUCAAUCUUUGUGGGGUGUUCCCCAACUUGGAUUGCCCUCAUGCUCCUCUGGGAAGAAGACUUCGUCUGUGAAGUUGAUUGCGAUCAUCUCUGUUGCCGGAGGAAUCUGUUGUGUCAUCUUUCUGAUUUCCUGUUUUGCUGCUCGUUACUGGCCAUGCAAGUCGAGGACACACUACUCCGUCACCGCUCGCAGCAAAGAUCAACACCGGAAGGUCACUUUUGCUGAGCUAACCAAAGCAACCGAUGGGUUUUCGCCUGCUAACCUUACUGGCACGGGAAGCUUCGGAUCUGUGUACAGAGGCGUCGUGGAUUGGGAAGACCACAAGGAUGUGGCGGUGAAGGUACUCAACCGGCAGCAAAGAGGAGCUUCAAGAAGCUUCGUAGCUGAAUGUGAAGCUUUGAGAAACACCAGGCAUCGGAAUCUCGUCAAGGCACUAACAUCAUGCUCGGGUGUUGAUUUCGGACGGAACGGCUUCAAAGCUCUAGUGUUUGAGUUCUUACCGAAUGGAAGCCUGGACGAGUGGCUUCAUCCUCCCGAAAGAGACGAACAGGGUUCGCUAAGCCUUGAACAUAUCGAUCGAUGUGGCUUCCGCGUUGGGCUACCUUCGAUUGUUCACUGGGAUGUUAAACCGAGCAAUGUUCUUCUGAAUCAUGGUUGUUUGGAUGGAGGAGUAAAGAAAAAAUAGAAUAUCAUGAUGCAAGUAAAAGAAUAUUUUCGAUUCAAGAAAACUAAUGUAAUAUUUAAAAACAGGAGGAUUUAUAAGAAUACUUACAAGAUUUUUUCAAGUGCACACACUCUCUAUAUCCUUACUUCAUGAACUAUAAUCUUAUUUAUAGGACCUGCGAUGGUUAUUGAAAUCAUCCUAUAACCACUAAAUCAUGAUAAUUAUCUACAUAGAUAACUAUGAAUCAAAUCUUAACACUCUCCCUUGAUUCAUAGUUGCAUUGUUGAUUAAUAUUGACUUCCACCAAAUGAUUUUAUAUUUAUAGGUCAACAUAAGUCAGCAUGAAUUAAUUCAAGACAAUUAGAUGCUCUCAAUGUCACUAUUAUAAAAAGUUUGGUCAUAUAAAUAGGUAGAAAAGAGAAAAGCAAGCAAGCAAUGUGGAGGAAAAUGAAGAAAAUAAUAAGUUGUUUAUGAUUCAUUCACAAGUUCAUAAUAUCUCAAAUGAUAUUUGGUUUCUAGAUAGUGGAUGUUCUAAUCAUAUGUCAGGCAUAAAAUCAAUAUUUAAAGAUAUUGAUGAAACUCACAAGUUAAAAGUUAGACUUGGAGAUAGCAAGCAAAUCCAAAUGGAAGGGAAAAGAACAAUUGAGGUGAAGAUAAAUCAAGGGAAAGUAAAAUACCUUGAUAAUAUUUUCUUUGUUCCUACUUUAUCACAUAACUUGUUGAAUAUUGGACAAUUGAUAGAUGAUGAAUAUUCAGUAAUAUUUGAUGAUGAUUCAUACACUAUUAAAGAUAAAAAAUCUGGUUUGAUUAUAGUAAAUAUUCGGAACAUUUUGUUUUGUGUCAUGCAAACAUUUACUAUAAUCAAACCAGAUUUUNNNNNNNNNNNNNNNNNNNNAUAUUCGGAACUAUUUUGUUUUGUGUCAUGCAAACAUUUACUAUAAUCAAACCAGAUUUUUUUAUCUUUAAUAGUGUAUGAACCAUCAUCAAAUAUUACUGAAUAUCCAUCAUCUAUCAAUUGUUCAACACUCAAGUUAUGUGAUAAAGUAGGAACAAAGAAAACGGUAUUUUACCUUCCCUUGAUUUGUCUUCACCUCAAUUGUUCCUUUCCAUUCCACUUGAAUUUGCUUGCUAUCUUCAAAUCUAAUCAACUUGUGAGUUUCAUCAAUAUCUCUAAAUAUUGAUUUUAUGCUUGACAUAUGAUUAGAACAUCCACUAUCCAGAAACCAAAUAUCAUUUAAGAUAUCAUAAACUUAUGAAUGAGUCAUAAACAACUUACUAUUUUCUUCAUUUUCCUCCACAUAACUUAUUUGCUUUUCUCUUUUCCACCAAUCUGCCUUCAUAUGACUAAACUUUUUACAAUAGUGACAUUGAAUUCUAAUAUUAUUAUUUUUUUUAUCAUAAUUUGAUUGUCUAUGUUCAUCGUGUCUAUCAAAGUGUCAUCUUCCUCUUCUAUUUCCUCUACUACGAAAUCCUCUAUUUCCUCUACUACGAAAUCCUCCUAUGCCACGUCCUUUUCCUACUGAUUUUUUGUCUUCUUUUGAAAUAGAAGACUCCCAUGUUUUUUGUUUAUUUUUUUUAAAUGACCUGUUCAACCUUACUUCAUGUGCUUGCAAGGAACCCAUUAGUUCAUCAAAUGAAUAAGUAGAUAAAUCUUUUGACUCCUCAAUUAUGACAACAACAUGAUCAAAUUUCAAAGUUAAACUUCUCAAAACUUUUACAAUAAUUAUAUGAUCUUUCAAACACACGAUAGAGGGUUUAAAAUUUUACCAUAAUCACCCUUAAUGAGCCUUGAAAUUCAUUUUGAAGUAUCAACCGAGCUUGCUUUGAGGUUGUCACUGUUGUAAUUCUUGAGAAGAUCAUCUCAUGUACAGCUUGUUGAAUGAAAAACAAUGUCUUUAAGUCCUUCUUUCUAUUCUCCCUCAGCCUGAUUUCGUCAUCUGAAUCUGCAUAUACAUUCUCUAUUAAGUCCUAAGGAAUUGUUAUUGAAAGUCAUAAUGCCCGGUUCAGAUUGAAACUAGGCUCUGAUACCACACCACAAAUGUUGGGGAUGGAGAAGCAAGGAAAACACAUAAUACUACGAUGCAAGUAAAAGAAUUCUUUCGAUUCAAGAAAACUAAUAUAGUAUUUAAAAACAAGAAAAUUUACAAGAACACUUACAAGAUUUUUUCAAGUGUACACACUCUCUAUAUCUUUGCUUCAUGAACUAUGGUCCUAUUUAUAGGACCUAGUUAUAACUACUAGAUUAUAAUUGAGGUGGUUAUUGAAAUCAUCUUAUAACUACUAGAUUAUGAUUGAGGUGGUUAUUGAAAUCAUCCUGUAAUCAUUAAAUCAUGAUAACAAUCUAGAUAGAUAACUAUGAAUCAAAUCUUAAUGUUUAGGUGACUUUUUGGAUUAUCAAAGUUGUCGGCAAGUCAUCGAAUAACUCGGUGACGUUGAGGGUCGGUCGGUUAUGCUGCUCCAGGUGUGUUUAGAUUUCAUUGAUGCUUCUCAUUUUGUUGAUCUAUAUACUCUUAGAUUUGCUCACUAUCAGACAAGAAGUUGGCAUGAAUGAAGUAAGUUGUGAUUCGUUCUGCAUGCAUUGCAGAGUAUGGGAUGGGCAAUAAGGUCUCUACGGAAGGGGACGUGUACAGUUACGGAACACUCCUGCUAGAGAUGUUCACCGGUAAGCGACCUACGGACGAUGGCUUCAAGGAAGGUCUGAACCUUGGUCGAUACGUUGAGGUGGCACUUUCCAAACGCGUAGUUGACAUCAUCGAUCCCUACUUGUCAUUGCAAGGGGGAGAAGGGGAAGCACGUCACGCAAAUCCAAUGGCAAAUGGAUUAAGCACGAGAGCGGUAGAAUGCGUUGCUUCGGUGCUUACAGUCGGCGUUUUAUGUUCCAAGGAAGCACCAAAACAGCGAAUGCAUAUGGAAGCUGUCGUAAGGGAAUUGCACGACAUCAGGGAUGCGUUUCUGGGACUGCCUCUGCUGUGACAGAUUUGGAUGGAGUGCCGACGAGAUCAUCUACUAUUUUGCAUUUAUUAGUCAAUUCAGAUUAAUGGAAAUCAAUUCAGAUUAGAAAAUUAAGUCUUUUUUUUAUUUUCAAAUCUUUAAUAGAUUUUGUCUUGUUGAUCGAAGUCAAUUUUAGUGACCCGUGGUCAACGUCACAACUCUGUAGAAGAAGGCCACCAUUGUUGUAUGUGUUGUCGAUUCACCGGCAGCCUAGUUUGACAACUAAAUUAUAGUUUAUUGACAACACCAGUGUGAGCCUAACAUAAUAUAAUGAUAAUGUUUUGUUCAACUCCCAUUGCAUUGCAGACUACAUUUCAUGAAAAUGAAGCUUCACCUAUCAUUGUGGAAAGUCAAUUAAACUGGCCAAUAGCUCCAUAAUUGACCUCAAUCAAUCAAGUCAUCUGGCUAACGAGUGGUCUAAUACUAUUAAAUGAGAAUCAUGAGAUUUGUCAAAAAAAAAACACACACACACUAGUAUAAUUUUAAUCACUAUUAAGAGAUCGAAAAGUGAGUAAAAUUUACUGUUUUACCAUUGUCAAAAAAAAUUAUAAAAUAUAAAUCUCAAAUAUCUGAAAUGGAAUGGGAGAUAAUGUCUUGGUAAAAUUUAAAAGUGAAGAAAAUAUGAUUUGAUCCAAAAACUUAGCUAUAAUUUUGACGCUUUCCGUAAAGCUAAAGCUCCAACCAUAAUAGAUUUCGAAGUUUGACAUUGUAUCGUAUAGAUUUCUCUCCUCAACAUAUAGGAGUAUUUAUUAUGAUCUUAAAUAUUGUAUCGUAUCGGUGUUUAAAGGUUGACUCGGUACGGUACGGUAUCGGUGUACCGAGUGGUACAUUAGGAUGUACCGAAUAAUUUUAUAUAUAUUUUUCUUUUAUUGUAGUACUGUAGCACUGUUGCAAUGUAAUAUUGGAACACUGUAGCAUGUUUUGUUCGGUACCGGACAGUCCGCGUAUUCGUCGGACCGGUACGUACUGUCCGUACCGGACGAUACUAUUCGGUAUUACAUACCAUAGACUUAAGUAAAAAUGAAUCUCAUUCCUGUAAGUUGAUCGAGAGCCAUAAAUGGACCACUCAAACAUUAAAUAGAAGUCAAAUUUUACUUACAGUUCUUUAAAUCUUAUCUAACACUUUAAGAAUACCCUCAAGAAUUUGGGUAGAAUCAAAUGUUUCAUUGGGACUUGGCAAAUUGUAUUAUUUGGCUUUGUUAAGAUAACAUUUUAUUAAGAAUUAUACAUUAAAUCGGAGACAACAUUGAACGUCCUCAUCUCAUGCACCCCUACACAUCUUGGUCAUUUGCUUAUAAGAAUACUGUCCUCGAUCACUUUAGUUAUUUGUGUUUUGUUCAUUACUGAUUAAUUUUUUUAAGCUAUUUUUUAUAUUGACAGUGAGAUUAUGGAUAGACUUACACAUGGGAGAUGUUCUCUAUGACUUUUGGGGGAUUCUAAUGAUAAAUCUUGUCAUAUUUGAUAUGGAAGAUUUGAACUCAAAUAGAAUUUUAGUAAUUGAGGAUAAAGAUUAGGUCCCAAGUACACCCUGGUCCUUUGGGAGAGUCAUGGCAUGCUACCUAACUAAAUGCAUUUUUUGUUGUUAUUGUUGUCAUUCCAAAAGAAGUCACAUUAGAGUUUUGAAAUUUUGGAGAUAAAUAUUUUUGAGAUCCACCAGUUAGAAGAAUACCUAACUAAAUGCAUUUUUUUUAUUGUUAUUGUUGUCAUUCCAAAAGAAGUCACAUUAGAGUUUGAAAAUUUGGAGAUAAAUAUGUUUGAGAUCCACCAGCUAGGAAAAUAUGUUUGAGAAAAAAGUUCUUUUGCCACCCUUUGAAUCAUCCUUUAAGACUUUGUCCUAGAUAGGUAAAUUCCUUAGUAUUUGAUCCCCAUGAUGUUAACAGGAGUGAUACUCUUGAUUCUGAACAACAUUGAUGAUUAAAGUAGAAAGAAUCUAUUGGAUGAUAAUAAAUAUGUAUAGUGAAAGAUGGUCUCCUUAUCUUAUUCCCCAGUGACUCAUAAAUUAUUGGGAUUGAUCUCUAUAGCAUAAAUCCAAUGAAUGAAUUUAUGGAAAUAGUUCAUACAUCCAAGGAUGUGAUUGAUAACUUCUCAAGAAAUGAAGUCAAAAAAUUUUUCGAGAUCAAGCUUUAGGAGAAUGUAUAGAGUGCAUUACUUCAAAAGCAAUGAAAAUAUUAUCAUGAAUAUUUUUAUCUUUAACAAUGUUAAAUUAUUCCUGAAUAAUGAGAUUAUUGAUAAGUUACUUGAUUUGAUUUGCAAUAACUUUGGUGAGUAAUUUGUAUAUGACAUUACAUAAUGUAAUAGUUCUAAAAUCUUUAAUCUAAACUACAUAUGUAUGGCCUUAACUGUCCCACAGCGAUGUUCUUAAAAAAAAAAAAAGAUAAUCUUUUAAGUCCACUCUGACGCCUUUAUAGAAUUCAAUAUUAAGACGAACUAACUUUAAUAAAACCCAUAUGCCAUAAUAGUCUUUUGAAUAAGACUUGUAAUCUAAUUUUUUCUUCCCGACAAACUACAUCAAGAAAAAAAUUGUCCUGACAAGUAAACUUCGAGUAUUUUGUGUGCUAACUUUGAAUUAGUAUACAUAUAGAUUUGCUGUGGAUGAUUUCCAAAUUGUAUCCGAGUGCGGGUGUUGGAAGAAUCCUUUGCAUGGAGCAAACACGACAUGAGUGCUUCAGAUCUGCAUGGGUUCUUUGGCCAUCCUCCUUCAUGCUUUUGCUUCUCAUGCUCUCUUCUUCUGCAGGCUCAUCAGCUUCCCAGUUUGCAACUCCCACCGCUGAAUCGACCACCGAUCGUCUCUCGCUCCGCUCCUUCAAGACCCUCCUCUCAGACCCAUCCGGCGCGUUGACCUCCUGGGACAACGCCUCCCUCCAUUUCUGCCGGUGGCGAGGGGUGACGUGCCGCACCCACGGAGGUGAACCGAGGGUCACGGGCCUCAAUUUGGAGUCCCUCCAGUUGGAGGGUAAACUAUCUCCGUCCCUGGCUAACCUCACCUUGCUCAGGAGACUCUGCCUCGGUAGCAACAGCCUUGAGGGUUCCAUCCCGCAGGAGCUCGGCUUUCUAUCCCACCUUCGGACUCUCAAUCUUAGCAACAAUCAACUGGGUGGGAUGAUUCCCAAUUCUCUGUUCCAGAACUGUUCGAGACUUCAAAUCUUCAGCCUGAGUCAUAACAACAUGAAUGGCACAAUCCCACGCAAUCUCAGCAACUGUUCGGAACUCCAAGUCAUCGGUUUGGAUCAGAACAAGCUGCGAGGAGACAUCCCCACCGAUCUGGGCUCCCUUCCAAAGCUCCGGGAACUCGUCAUGUGGAACAAUCUCCUCCAAGGAGGCAUUCCUCCUGAGAUCGGGAAUCUUGCAAGCUUAACAGGACUUUAUCUAGGCGGCAACCAACUCACCGGCGCUAUUCCUGCUGCGGUAGGGAACCUCUCCUCUCUUGCCCAUCUUGAUCUGUCAAACAGUACUCUUGUAGGAGACAUCCCUGCCGCAAUAUGGAACCUCACCUCUCUUCGUCAGCUUGUGCUGUGGAGUAAUAAGCUCACAGGAGCCAUCCCAUCCGACAUAGGCAAUCUUGUUAGCUUGACCACACUCUUUCUUCAUUACAACCAACUCACUGGCACAAUCCCAUCCGAGAUUGGGAACCUAGUGAAUCUGACCGUAUGUGUUUUGGGUGGCAACCACCUGGUUGGCACCAUUCCCAGGAGUUUGGGCUCCUUGCAUAGUUUAGAUGCAUUGAUUCUGGGUAGCAAUGGGCUACAAGCAAGGGAUGCGGCCGAGUGGAGUUUCUUGGACUCCUUGGCCAACUGCACCCACCUUAGAAUCUUAGAUAUAUCGAAAAAUGAUCUAAGUGGCAUGCUGCCAAAAUCCAUAGCCAAUUUGUCUAGAUCUCUGGAAGAGCUAGACAUCGGAGGCAACCAGAUAGCAGGAAGCAUCGCUGAAGAGAUUGGGAAUCUUAUUAGCUUGACCAAAAUCACGAUGUGGUACAACCUUCUCGGCGGUGCUAUUCCUGCAACGCUGGGAAGGCCUUCGGGAUUAGGAAGAGUAAACUUAGGAGGAAACCAUUUGGUGGGAGAAAUCCCUGCAACCCUCGGGAACCUUACUAGAUUAAACAUUCUUGUUCUUGCCACCAAUGAACUGCAUGGAUCCAUACCUCCGAGCCUUGGAAAGUGCCCAUUAAAUAUCUUGAAUCUUGAUUCCAACAGGUUAAAUGGUACGGUGCCCGUACAGAUCUUUGACAUCCCCAGUCUCACCAAACUCAAUAUUUCGCGCAAUUUAUUAACAGGAGUCCUGCCUUCGGAGAUUGGGAAUUUGAGAAACACCCAAAGUAUCGAUGCGUCCGAUAAUAGAUUAUCCGGUAGAUUGCCCAGCGGAAUUGCUGGAUGCCAGGUCCUCGAAAUCCUUUGCAUUGGAGGCAACUAUUUCCAGGGACCCAUUCCUUCGUCGUUUAGCCAGUUGAAGGGGCUUCGAGUGCUGGACAUUUCAAGCAAUGAUUUAUCGGGGCAUAUACCAGAUUUUCUUGGGAGCUUUAACAUGACGUAUCUCAAUCUCUCCUACAACGAUUUGGACGGUGAAGUGCCAAAAGAUGGGAUUUUUGCAAAUGCAAGUGCAUUCUCGGUGGUGGGGAACAGGAAACUUUGCGGGGGUAUUCCAGAACUUAGAUUGCCAUCAUGCCCUUCCGAGGAAAAAUCUUCUUCUGCUAAGCUAAUUGCCAUCGUCUCUGUUGUCGGAGGAAUCUUGUGCGUCACCUUUCUGAUCUCCGUGUUGGUUGCUUGUUAUCGAUUACGCAAGUCAAGCAGGCUUUCUUCUGUUACCUCACGCAUCGAAGAGCAGCACAGGAGGGUCUCUUUUGCCGAGCUGCUCAGAGCGACAAAUGAAUUUUCGCCUGCUAAUCUGAUUGGGAAGGGAAGCUUCGGAUCUUCCUACAGAGGAAUCAUGGAUUGGGAAGACCACAAGGAAGUGGCGGUGAAGGUACUCAACCUGCAGCAAACAGGGGCUGUGAGAAGCUUCAUGGCCGAAUGCGAAGCUCUGAGAAACGUCAGGCAUCGGAAUCUCGUCAAGAUACUGACAUCGUGCUCAGGUGUUGAUUUCGGAGGGAAUGACUUCAAAGCUCUAGUGUUUGAGUUCUUACCCAGUGGAAGUCUGGACGAGUGGCUUCAUCCUCCAGAAAGAGACGAACGGGGUUCGUCGAGAGUGCUAAGCCUCGGGCAGAGAUUGAACAUAUCCAUUGAUGUGGCUUCUGCGUUGGAUUAUCUUCAUCGCCAUGUUCCGACCCCGAUUGUGCAUUGUGAUCUUAAACCGAGCAACGUGCUUUUGGACGAUGACAUGGUGGCACAUGUGGGUGACUUCGGAUUGGCGAGGUUCGUGGGCAAGUCAUCCCAGAGAUCGACGAACUCGGUCACGUUGAAAGGGUCCAUCGGCUACGCUGCUCCAGGUGUGUUUCUCAGCUUUUCCUUUGGAUAAUUCACCACUGGAGAUUGAUGAACGAUGUGCAUGUCACAGAGUAUGGGAUGGGACAUAAGGUUUCAGUGCAAGGUGAUGUGUACAGUUACGGAAUGCUCCUGCUGGAGAUGUUUACUGCAAAGCGACCUACUGAUGAUGGGUUCAAGGAAGGUCUGAAUCUUCAUCGCUACGUUGAGAGGGCACUUCCAAAACAUGUUGUUGAGAUCAUAGACCCAAACUUGUCACUGGGAGGUGGAGAAGGAGAAGCAUGCCGUUCAAGUCCAUCGGCAAAUGAAUCAAGCAUGAGAGCUGUAGAGUGCAUUGCUUCGGUGCUCAGAGUUGGCGUGUCGUGUUCCAAAGGAUCACCAAAAGAGCGAAUGCAAAUGGAGGAUGUCAUAAGGGAACUUCACGACAUCAAGGAUGCAUUUCUUGGAUCGACUCUAUUGCGGGCGUAGAGAUGAUAUCAACGUUUGAUAAAUAUUAAGAUUAUAAUUUCUGUACCGCAUAUAAAUUAUGAACUUUUAUAAUCUUCCCCUCAUAACUAUUUUGACUUCUUUCAUCUUGUUAGCAUCUCAAUAUAUUAUUUGUUCUUCCAACAAAAAGAAAAUGCAAGAUAGAAAGUUGAAACAUCUUCCAGGCUAAGCCUUUUGAUUAUACAAAAUAUUUCAUGUAAUCCUUUUGCCCCAUAAUUAGAGUUUUUUUUUUUUUAACUUGUAAAUUGAUUCCUUUUAAGCCACAGCAUGUCUUGAAUCCGAACCGAUAUAAAUGUCAACUUACAGUGAAUUAUCUUGAGGAGAAAAGUCACAGCAGAAAGAAGAGAGAUAUAGAGAGGAUUAGUAAAAAUCGUGCUCCUAUGUCAAGUUUAUAGAUGCUUUUAUCAGAGCAACUGCAUGCUGUGGGGAGUCGGUCAUGUGAGCUUACAUUUCAGCGGCAAAGGAUUUGCCACAGCCACAAGUUUGUGUUGCAUUCGGGUUCUUAAAUGAGAAGCCUCCACCUAUGAGUGCAUCACUGAAGUCGAGCUGCAUGCCGUACACAAAGAGUAGGCUCUUGGGAUCACAAACUGCAAACUCAAAACCGAAAGUAGAAAUUAGAUUAUUUAAUAUGUGAUUGGCCAUGUUAUUUGACACACUAACACAUUAAUUCUGAUUCUUAUAAUUUGAACUACUAUUGAAAGAUACAAAUAUGCUAAGAUUACUCAUUAUCAUUAAAAGAUUUUUCGAAUUUUCAACUUUCCCAUAAGAUCCAUCUCCAACAGCGCAAAGAAAUCAUCAGUUACAACCCCACUAAAAAACUUUUCUCCUCGGUUAAUAUUGCUAGAAUAUUACUUGAUCAUAUUAAUUAAGAACUAAAUACAGCUUUGGUAUGAAUUUAUAGACUUUGCUGAGAGAGUGUCAUAAGGAUUUGAGGUCCACUAGUUUGCAUAAACUAAAAGAAUCUUACUUGCUGAAUGUAAAAAUUUUCAGUUUUCAGUUCCAUAUAUGUCCAGAUAAAACGAAAUUAAAAAAAAAAAACCUAAUGAAAGACCUACUCAGAAUUCAGGUUAUUCUAAUAAUACUCCAAAUAAAUUCCUAAGAAAAGAAGAAAGUUAAAAUCAUAUUUAUGCAUGAAAUAGAUUUAUGUGACGAUGGAUCUAUCUGGUUGUUUAUUGGGUUUCUCUCAACAGUUUAAUCAGUGCCGAUUAAGAUCCUAAGGGAAGGAGAAAGGAAGAAACAUACCAAUCACAAAACCAUUGUAUUCUAUCACUGAGUCAUCAGGUCGUGUGUUGGCACGGUUUUCAAACUCCAUAGUGUAUGACAUGCCAGAGCAUCCACCUUGCUUCACUCCAAUUCUCAAGCACAGAUCUUCAUUACGUUCAGAUCUCAUUUUACUCAGAUGGUUUAAUGCUUUUUCAGUUAAUGAAAUUGCAGGGGCAAAGCUACCAGAUGCUGGAGCUGCUGUAUCAUUUAAGUGCAACGAUAAGAAGGUGAUUCUUAGCACAACAAAUAAAAGAAAACAUUGUUCAAUAUGACUAAAAAAUUAGGAAUCCAAAACCCAAUAAAAGAAAAUGGCAGAAAUAAAAUCCAAAACAUAUUUUGGACAUUUGAACUGAGAAUGUCAUCAACAAAGAAAUUUUGAUAUGUAGAAAAUAUCUUACAAAAUAGCCAUUUAUGCAGUGAAUUAUAAUUAAGAUAGAAGAUAGAUUAAGGUUUAGUAUAUAACUGUCAGAUGGUUGCAUCAUAAUGACAUGUCCGAUGUUGCAAUAGUGGUCCAGUAAAGCUGAGUUGACAAUAUUUCAUUCAUAAAAUAUGGACAACCAAACAUGGAGUUUGCACGUCUUUUCUUCUAAGUUGACAAAUUCAUUAGUGAGGGAAUAUAAACCAAGUCAUUCAUAUUGUUCCAAUUAAAUCAAACAUAAAGGUCCAUAUGAAUGUGGAUGCAAGUGUUGUAGCAAAAAUCAUAUGAUGUUUAGAUUGGAGAUAUGUUUUCUUUUGUUUGUUAGAACAUAGAACAAGAUUGUUACAUCUGAUUGUGGCUCCAAAAUAAUUAAUAAGAGAACUGGAACGAAAGAUUUCAUGGAGACAGCAAGGUUAUCUGCUUGUUGUGUCUCUUUAAAGCAAAAGCAAAUGUUGAAACUAGUAAGAGUUGUAGUCAGGAAAUUUCUUUAUGACAUUCAUGUUAUUGGAAGAAACCCCUGGGUGCAUCAGUAAACAAUCUUUCAGGCCUAAAGCGGAGGAUGAAUAUUUGGAAAAUUGCAUCAUAAAACACCAAAAGAGAAAAGGGAGAAGGACAACAUGCAUCAUAAACAUACGGCAGUGCAGAAUCUUAUUCUUUGGAAUUCAUGCAGCCUGACUCUUCAUGUUCAAUCUGAAAAAUGAGUCCCCUUGAACCCAAUAUUGUUAUUCCCAAGUUUGCCUUUGCCUAACUCAGUAAAUGCAUACAGAGUAGCUCAAAGAAGGAUAUUGUGCAGAAAACAUUACAUAAAGAAGCAGAGUUAAAGAGAACCGAGUUUUCAUAUAUACAUGAUCCAAAUGGCUCCUCGAAAAAAAGCAACACCCUAUUACAUAAUGAAAUGGAGUUAAAGAGAGCCAAGUUUCUCAUAUAUAAAUGAUCCAAAUGACUCCUCCAAGAAAAGCAACAUUAUGGUUAGUAGAACUUAUGCAGAUUAGCAUAAGAUCAAAUCCAGGAUGAUACAUGUUCAGUGACCAAUUUUACUAUCAGGAUUCAUAUUUUGAGAGAUCUUAUUCCUAUUUUAGUAGCAUUUCAUUGGCUUAUGAGAUUAGCUUACCUCCUAUAAUUCCUAUGUAUACAAAUGUUCGUCAGGCCAUCAGACCAUUUUUUUAUGCAAUUAAUUAAGAGAUGGUUUAGUAGUAAUCUCUUCCCUUCUGUUCUUCGAAUUAGUGGAAACCCCAAUUGGAGGGUAACAGACUGUCAAAUAAGUGUUUUCCGAAAGUCGAGAUAACAAUUGGAGAGUUAUCUCAAACCUCUAAAAAUUCCGUCGACCUCAGAACCAAAGGUCUAGAAAACCCUAAAAUUUUCCGGCUUCAGAUCAAAAAGACAAUACAAACUUUUUCUUCCAGAUCAACAGAGAGAUAAUCAAGCUAAGAUUUGUGGUUACAACCGGAAAUUACUGGACAAACAUCAAAAAGGGAAAGUUUUUCCAUGCGAUCAGAUGAUUCAUAAGGGGAAAGGAACAGAGACUAACAGAUCAACUGACAAAAGAACUCUUCAAUUAGUAGAAUCAAAGACAACCAUUACCUGAAGUAGCCGACAAACGAAUGCGAGUUAGAUUCCUGCGAUUGAGAUCGCGGGGUAACCUGACGGAUGAACGAAGGGCGGCGGUGUUGCGGGACUCUGUGCAGCGCAGGUGGCAUAGGAGCUGGCCAGGGAUUCCGGCGGAGAGCGCCAUCGGAGAGAGCGAGAGGCGGAGUCGGGCGAGGAAAGUCUUAUUUUUCCGGAGAUUUCGGAGAAAAAAAAAGGCUUUAGAAAUACGCGGUCGUGUUUGGCGUGGCUUUAUUGUUAUUUAUUUACAUCGAUCCUUAUACAAAUUAGAAAUAGCGUAUUUAGGUUUAUAAAUCGUAAUACAUGAUAUUAAAACACCUAAAUCAACUAUAAAUAGCACUAUACAAUAACAACAACAACAAAAUCAUAAAUCUUAACUAUUUAAAUUUAACUAAAUAAAUAUUUUAAUAUCAUUAACAUAUGUAAAAAUUAUAUAUUUAAUUAAAUUUAAGAUACUUACAUUUUUUUUUCAUACUAUUAAUAUUAAUUAUUUUAUCUUUUUAAAAUUUUUUCUCAUCUUAUUUUGUAUUAAAAUGAUAUCUAAUUAUUUAUAAAUAAAAAUAUUUUUAUAUCUUUUUUAUAACUCAACAUAUUUAUCUUAAUAUUCUAAUUUCGAUAGUAUUAAUUAUAUAUAUAUAUAUAUAAUAUAAAGUAAUCUUAAUAAUCUUACCAUCAUAAAGAAUAUUAAUAAUAAAAAUGAGUCAAAAUAACAAAUAUACAUUAAAUUUAUACGUAAGGAUAUAUAUCCGAAAUAUAAAUUGUGUAUUUAUUGUAUUUAAUUUAUUCCGUCACCCAAAGCAGGCCAGCCUCAAUUCUGGUUCGGUGGGCCCGCUGAUUGGUAAUACGAUCUUCCAUCUCUCCUGGCCGCAGACUUGGAUGAUAUUUGUGUGUCAUUCUCUCAAUCCACACUUGACGUCUCUUGAUUGAUGGCUUGGUGGAAAUAAUUUAGUGCCUCCUUUAGAUAUUUUCUAAGAAGGAAAGGAAAAUUAGAAAAGAAGGGGUGUUUCAGCUUUGGAUUGGCUCUCUAGGAGUUUGGGUCGAUGUGAUUCAUCCCAUUAGCUAGCAACUGGUAGGCUUUAAAUUUGGGAUUGGUACGACUAAUCUAAAUUGACAAAUGAUCAGAUUCAUUGUGUUGAACAUGUUUCAAAUCAGCCUAUCGAUUACAUCAUACGAGUCUCAUAAAUAGAUUGAUCCACAGUGAUUAGAACAUUUGCCCCAACACGACUGUGUUACUCUGCACCAAAACAAUGUGUUGACAACCAACCCUCUAUCAACAAUCUGUGUUUGUCGAGGAGAUACGGGUACGGUUGACCUCCUAAACCCUGGAAAGUGGCUGCAUCUUUAGACUGAUUGGCAUGGGAUUAUGCAACAUCGAUCAUCCAUAUUGAAGACGUUAGAGUUAUGAAGUACAAAGAGUAAUAGUAUGCAUGAAGAGAGUUUUCUGGAGCUGGUACCUCCAAAGAGAUGCUUCACAGAUGAUCAGAAAAAUCAAUGAUAGACCACAACAUAUGAGCACAACUCGUAACUUGCCGAGCUUUUUACUUUCUAAUGUGCAGCGCACUGCUAAUGAACUUUUUUUUCAUUGAAACAGUAAUUUCAUAUGGACAGGAACAGAACCACUGAGUGUGAACUAAAGAGAAUUAGAUCUAGCAAAACAUAUUAUGCCUGUGAAAAGGAAACUAAUAAUCCUACGAAGAUGGCCUUGAAGGGCCUGCGCACAAUGACAAACUCCUCACUGCAACCUUCACUGCACCCACAACACCAAGCUGUCUCAUAUGUGGGCUCAAACCAAGGCCAUCACUCUUUGCGUUCUCAUCAAUCUGAACGUUAACAUAAAAUGCUACCUGCAAAUGCGGAACUAUAACGUUUUAAUGUAGAUCUUAAUUCUUUUCUUGCCUCUUAUAUGGUAAGAGAAACCAAACUAUAUUCAAGUAAAGCCAAGUAAUUCACCAACAAGGUUGUUAGCCUUAUGGUUAUUGGCACAGUGCGUACGGGUGGAGGGAAGUGACUCUUCAUGAGUGAGGUGGCAACGUCACAUAAGACAGGAACAACAGACUCAGAAUAAACCCAUGUUAAAAGAAUAUUACUCUACAGUUUAGUUUCAGUGACGAGAAUGAGGAAGGGGUGAUGCACUAGUUAAUAAGUUCUAUAUCUCCUCCCAGAUGCAAGCAUGCAAGAAUUCCAAAGGGUAAAGUUCACAGUAGAAUACUAGAAAAAGAAAAAUCAAACAAAGAGGAUGCUUGAUUAUUAAUUACAUACCUUGCCAGAUGCAUUCCGCACAGGUGAUACAUGAAGUAGAUUCCAAAACAAGCUUCCGUCUUUCCUGAAAAAGUGGCAUCACAGUGUUGCUAUCUAUGCGUAAAAUGAAAUUCUAAAUCCUGUAGCAUUCAUCCAUCAAGUUGUAAAAAGGCACCUGUAGUUCAGGAGACGUACUGUACAAGCACACUCGACCUGAAUGCUUUGCCUUAUCUAUAACAACAAAUAAUAAGUGUUAGGAUGUGCAUUGUGGAUACACGAGGGAGGCUCAAGUUUAAUAAGAUCCAUAAGAUGAUGGUUGCUAGUAUCUACCUGAUGUAACACCUCAACUUCUGUAUCAGGUCCAUUCAAGAACUCAUAGUUGUGUCCCAAUAUCUCAUGUCUUGAGUAACCUAUAAGAUAAAGGCAAUUGUUUAAAAGAUGUGCCCAUUCUACCAUUCGGGUAAAAUGUUGGGUUUUAUCAUACUGAGAAAAAAUCGCAUACAGAAGCACAUAGACUGACCACGGAACCAGACAAAAGAUGGCACUAAGCAAUUAAGUUGACUAGCUGUUAAUGCAACAUGGGAUAAUUACUAGUGACAGCUAUGCGUCUUAUAUUCCUAUUCUGCUGCACAAGAAUCUAACCAAGCAGCAAAAAUUCAGUUUAAGGGCAUAAGUUGACAUAUGAUUGCCAGCAGAUAUGGAAGUAGCUACUGAAUGGAUGCAAUAUGAUCUUUUGACAAACCUUCCAAAGGCCAUGAGGUUGUGGUCUGAAAAUUUGUUGGUCAAACAGCAUGUCAAAGACAUGCCAACCAUCUUUGAGUAACCUAACAAGACAAGCUAGUUUAUUGCAUUUCAUUCUCAGGCAUGCUUAUCAUGCUUUGAUUUUUAAUGCACAAGGUUCUCCAAAAGCUCCAAGUCAUACCACAGGAUCCACUUCAACAUUUAACUUUACUUCAAAUCAAAAUUUGUUUAUCUACCUCAAUUACAGUUAAGUUGAUCCUCAGGGAAAGAGGCAGAUACUUAGUAGCUCGGUCAUUGCACUUGACACUUACUAGGUAGGAAAUCUACUUCAAUCAAAGGUGGAAAAUUGCACAAGAUAAAGUAAGAGGAAAAGUCAUUGAAACCAGCAAUAUUGGCAAACAAAUGGGACUAUAGGAGAACUCUGAAUUCUCAAAAGGAUGUUGGAUUAAAACACUGCAUUUAAAUUGUAAUAAUUAUCAUCCAGCAUUCGUCAAUAAAAUGUAACUAUCAUAAAAGAAUGUAGGUUUACAGCACCUGUCAGACUUAGGAAUUCAUCGCUGGCGUAAACAAUGGGCAUGUCAGGUAACUGGGGAUCAGUCCUGCAAGAAAUUAAUUGAUUUCCCUAUUAGCAUAGCAACAAGUAAAUCCCCAAGCUCCGCCAGAUUGCUAAGCUAAAACAAUAUCAGCAGGAAUGUGUAACAACUCACAGUACAAAGCUCUGUUUGAUUCUACCAAGAGAUAAAAUAAGGGAUGAACUGAGUGGGGAGAUGCCAGCCAAUCUGCUUCUCUGGCUGCUGACCACUCUGCCUGUAAGCUUGCUAUACUGAGUCAGAGCUGACAGGAUGCUGUUGGCAGCAUCUGAGGCCCUCUCUUUCUCUUGCUCGCUCGCUUCACGUGAUUCUUCAGCCUCCAAUCCUGCAGGGAGCAAUUGGCACAACAUUAUACCAAUCUGGUUUCUGAUAAGAUUUGCCCGUCAGACCACUCAGGCCUCCAACACUGUCAUUUAAGAUUCGAUAACAUAAGAACAAGCAAAAAAUGCAGUAAGUGAAGCACAACAAUGUCAAGCGAUGAAUCUUCAAUUGGUCGGUGACGGAACAAAAAUUCAACUAAAAUAGAUUAAUUUGAGAGGAAUUAAACUAAUUCUUAAUUAUUAUCAUGAAAAAGGAAUCAGAAUUCACCUCUAUUGUCGACAUCCACAAACAAAUCCGCAGCAAGAUUACACCCUAAAUCGCAGUCGGAGCGAACCUCGUUCCGGCACGCCCCAAACAACCUCCCUCUAGCUCCUCCACAUCUAGCCUCCGACAACGACCUCGAUCGCCUCGGGAUCGGCACCUGGACCGCCACAAAGUGCGCCACCCUCCCGUCGUCCACCCCAAACACCGGGAAAAGAUGGAAUAGUAUCCAAUGCGGCGUUCCGUCCUUCCGGUAAUUAAGCAAGCUGAUCUGUAGCGUCCGCUCCUCCCGUAUCGCCUCGCGGAUCUCCAACACCGACCGCCGGUUGGUGGCAGGGCCCUGGAACAUCCGGCCGUUCCGGCCGAGGACCUCCUCACGGGAGUAUCCGGACAUGGCGAGGAACCCGUGGCUGGCGAAGACGAUGGGGUGGCCUGCGACACCCGGGUCCGUGAUCAGGAAGCAGCCCUGGAUCUCGUCGAGGGCCUCCGCGAUCCAAUCGGAGUAACGGGCGGUGAGCGACUGGUCGAUGAGGCGGCGUGAGCAUCCCGCCAUGACCUCCGCCACCGCCGAUGGUGGCGAUGUGUUCUCGGCCCGACGCCCGAUCGACGGAAUCGUCAGCGCCACCAUACGCGCCGCCGCGGCGGAGAUCGCUUCUUUCACCUCAUAACAUACUACCAAAACGGAGGAGUACCGAAUUGCCGCUUCAAAUAAAAGAUCAGAUGAGAGAAGGGUUUGUGAUCAUUAUUCGCUAUAGACAAAGGUGAGACGGGGAGGGGGAAAAAAUCUGUGGGAAAUGGUGGGAUAAAUUUUUAUGUUAAUACGUUGCUUGAAAAAAUUAGUGGACGGAAAGGCCAAAAAAAUAAAAAGAAAAGAAAGCAAAUAGAAGCAAUCGGCGAAGAGGAGAGACGAGAGGAGGAGAACACGCACAUUUGUGUGUGUAUGGGUUUUAUGUAAUAUCGAGUCGAGUUUGUGAUUUGGUAAAUAUAUAUAUAUGUGAUUAACGUAUAAAAAAGCAAGGAAGGAAGGAUGAGUGGAUGAGUACAGACGUGGCGAGUGGCUGUUUCCAUGUGGUGACCACGACGUUAUCCGUAAUAAUUGCGCUGGCCGCGUUCCGCCGGGAGUUGAUGACGCGGAUACAAGAGAGAAUACGAGAAGUGGUGGAGGUUUAACAACCCCAAACCUACCCUCGUGCUUAUUGGAACGAUUAAUGGGCCCCAUGAGGUGGAUAUCGGGUUGGAGACGACUCUGGAAGUCCCGCAAAAACACGAAUCGCAAGUGUUGUCCGAUUGGUUGUUGUUGCGGAACCCGUGGGUCCCAGGCGUGUUGACAAAUAGGAAGAUGAGAUUUCCUGGCUGGCGACACGGCCGAGACAGGUGAGCUAGGCCGAAUCGAAAACGAACCGCGGCGGGUUCAGGUUGGACCGGUUCGCCGCAACCGUUAUGGUAAUUAUCGGAUGGUGACUGGGCAACAACUGUACACGCGUGCAGUUCGGAGCGGACCAACUUGGAAUCCACAUCGGCCACUCGAGAUGAACGGCCAAGAAACCGAGGAGACCACAGUGUUCGUCUACCGAUGCCGCCUAUUGGUUGGUGGCUGGUGAGCCCCACGGUUGGAAUCAAUGGUGCAGAGGGCCCAUUUCUUGUGUUUCGUAUCUCGGCCGAGACACAAGCGCCGCACAGUUCACGUGCGGAACACUCGGUGUCCUCCGCUCCCCCACGUUUGUGGUCGGAGUUGAGCUGCACGCUGACCUCCUUUCCAUCUCAAUUGUCUUGAUAUUAUCAUUAUUUACUUUUCCCUUUUAUAUUUCUUUUAAUUCUCUGGGAAAAGUGCAUAGGUAUAUUUAUAAUCAUAUGGUCAUAUAAAUGUCACUCGGAUUAAACAACGUAUAUUAAGUACACGGAAAUCUUCCAAGUGGUCGAGCGUGUAACGGGUUCGAUGGGUUGGGCCGUAUCGGUUCAUCUUCGGCAUCAUUUGUGGGUCGGAACAGCCCAUUAGACCAAAUCAGGUGGAGUGUUGGUGUCGAUUCUUCCACGACUUUGUCAAUAGGUCAGCCAGCCUAAUGACAAAUUUGAGGGUUGGGAAGAAAGAGUCACUCUGCCGUAUCGAAUUCUCCUUCGCGAAGCACAAAUAUUAUUCUCAGCUCACGUAAAAAGAUAUUAUAUUUCUAAAGAAAAGUCAAAAGGUAGGAUUUUUUUGUUUUUUUUACUUGAGACAUCCUCGAUGCAAUAAUAUUACAAGUUUAAUAAAUUUUUAGUUUGAAUCCAUGUAACAAUAUUUUACAUAUUUAAUUUAAAUAAUUAAGUUAUAUAAAAAAUUAUGAGUAUAUAAAAAUACUAUAAUUAAUGAAUUAGAAGAUUGACUCAUUCUUCUGACAAGUGUUGCUUUAGCUAUAUUGUUAGAAAAAUAUUUUGGAGAUUAUAAUAAAUAAGAAUAUUAUUUCGAGCUAAAAAGGAACACAAAUAUCGCCCAACUUGUUGUUGCAGUCAAUCCGGCGGUCAAUGUCACAACUUCUACUGGAUUGGGAUGUACCAACUAAUAGCCAAUUCACCAUUGAGUCAUAUCAAAAACCAGUGUUGCAUAUCGAAGUCGAAGUCAUCAGCUCCUUUUCAUCUAUUUCAUUUACAAGUGGGGCGUCACUAUAACAUCUAAUUCAUCUAUUUCAUUACAAGUGGGGCGAUCUGGCAGUUUGUGCCGACGGAGUCAUGUCGACCGGCGUGGCGGGGUAUUAAAUUGUAGGUGACAUUAACGAGGCGCGCAAUCGCUGGUCUCUAUCACAUUAGUCUCCACGACGACGAUGAAUAUAUUAUUAUGUAGCAAUUUUAGGGUAUUAGUAACUCAGCUGUCCACUUAAUUGAUUAAGACUUUAAUGAUUUAUCAUCAUAUUUUAAUAUUAAAUUUAAUGAAACUAUCCUAUGAAUCUCUCUUUCUUUCAUCUCAUAUGAAUAUUUUAUAUAAAUAAAUCUUUUUUUACUAUGAAAUUUGAGAGGCUCAAGAGAAGGUUAAUUAGAUGCCAAGCAUCUUUGUUCGUCUUCGAUCUCUUAAGCCUAUUUGGACCCCUUACUUCUCCUGACGAAUACUUCGCCGUGAUUCAUAUCAUCGGCGUCACUUGUUCAGGCAAUCGAAACAAAGAAAAGUAAAGGCCGAUGCCUGAGAAAAAGAGAGUCUUUAUUUGAUGCAACAUAUGUCGUACACAGCAUCCAUGGGAGGAAGCAAUCACACGGAACGUGUGCUAUUAUUUUGCGAUGCGUUGUGAGGACGGCUCCUGGCAGAGGAACAAAGCCCAGAAGCCGCCGAGGCAGACCGCAGCCGCCAUGCUCCACACCAUGACCGCCACGGGCCGCGGCAUGAUGGCCGCCACCUUGCAGGAGAACAUCAGGGUGAGGAGCGUGGCGAGACACCAUACUGCGGCCUUCAGCCGUGGCCGGUCCGCCGCGGUGCCUCCCUCCAAGCACCGAACGCAGCGCAGCAGGAGCAGGAGGUCGGCGUAGGCGAUGACCACGAAGGCCACGGCCGAGGGGUCGUCCCUCGAGCGGUACACGGCCGUGACGGAGCUGUAUGUCAGGACGGCGAGUCCCAGGGUGGAUAACCGGGCGUCGGCAUCGUGGUCCGUGUUGGCGGUGGACGAUGGUGUGUCGAGGGGGGUUGCGCUAAGCUGCUGGGAAUCUCGGUCUCUCCUCUGCAAAGCCAAACGACAAGCUACAAUCGUAGGCUACAUGAACUAAUAAAGAGCGCGUCCUCAUUCCUUCAAGUCUUUCAUGUCACAAUUCUUUAAGGGUCCGUUCUGACGUGCCCUUGUGGGAGUUUGGCCGUCCGUUGGCUUGUUUGACGCGCAAGAGCCCAUGACUUGGUCGCACACGCCUUUAGUCUCGUCCUCUCGCAGAACAUAUUAAAAUCAUACCCGAUAAUACUAAUAUUCAUUUUUUGUCAUUUUUAUUAUACUUAAUAACUAAAGUUAUUUGAUAUAACGUAAUCAAAGUUAAGUUAUGGCCGACAAAUGGAAUAUUCGAAUAAAGUGAAUUAAAAAAUUACAAAAGAAUAUGUAGCAUCACGUUAUAUUUAAAAUUAUCUUCAGAUUUUAUCCCUUCGAAAUAUGUAAAUUUCAAAAAAUAUUUCUAAGGAUAGAGAGACUUUACUGAACCCUUAAUUCCUAUACUUCUUAACUAAUAUGAAACUAAAUGAUAUACUCUUUUCCCAUAAGGAAGUUAGGGAUUCAUAAUGAGCUUAAAUGAUGGCUUUUAUUUUUUAUUUUAAUUGAUGAUGACUUUUUCGGGCUUGAAUGGCAACUUUCAUUUUUUUUUAUUUUAAUUGAUGAUAGACUUUUUCGGGAGCGAAUUUGUUCGGAUUGAAUGACGACUUUCGUUUUCUUUGUUUUAAUUGAUGGUGACUUUUAUUUUCUUUAUUUUAGUUGAUGCUCCCUUUUCUUUUAUUAUUUUAUAAAUAUCUUUCUUGAAGGUGCGAGUGCCAAAAAAAACAGAGGCGCAAAGGGAUAAGGCAAGAGUGUUGAUCUUAGAUGACGAUGACAAGAAAUAUUUAUGAGGUUAUAAAAGAUAUCAUCGAAAAAAUAAAAAAAUAUAAAUACUUUUCCCAAAAAAAGGCACAAAAAUAGAAGCUUAUUAAGAAAAUCGUAUGAGAGUUUGUUAUUCCCAUAUUAUCCAUUUAAAUUAGGUUAAUAUACCCAUUAAUUAAAUUUACGAUAUUUGGUUCAGUUAGCUUGCGAAUCACCAUUUCUUGCUGAAGAUUCGUAGGAGUCGUUCGAAGUCGCGGAGAAGAUGAAGUUUUUUCUUUCAUUCUUUAUUUUCCAUUUUUUUUCUUCCGAUUCUUAGUCUUUGCACCUUCUAAAUUAUUUUUGAAUUAUAAUGGGAGGGAGAGGGAGAGGGAAACGUUGUGGCUAAUCACCAACCGAAAGCCGACGCAUAAAGCUUAAUUAUUAUUUAUUCAUAACCUUUAAAAAGCAGUGCUUUAGUUCGGAGGAUGUGCUUCCACGUAGCAGAUAUUUGGGUGCGAAACUUGGUGUGGAGAGAUUUUUGUUUGGGUAAUGGUGAAGCUCAUAUACGUAGCUGGGAAACUUCGAUAAUAGCAAGCUAUUAAGUGUACAUAGAAGAGAUACAUAGUGCGUUUAACACACUAAUUCGAGGAUGGUUUGGCGUCGGCGGACAGAUCAACUGGCACACGGUAAUUUGAGGACGGUUUGGCGUCGUUGGACAGAUCAACUGGCUCACGGUAGAUAAAGAAGGCCCAAAACCCACCACCGGCGGUUGCGGCCGCCAUGCAGUACACGAUCGCAGCGACGGGCCAGGGCAUGAUGGCGGCGACCUUGUGGGCGAACAUGCCCGUGAGCAGCGUGGCAAGGAACCACACGGCGGCCUUCAACCCACCCCGGUUGCUCUCGGUAGACCUUUCGAACUUGCGAAGGCACCAGAACAGGAGGAGCAGGUCAACGUAGGCGACGACCACAAACGAGACCGCCCAUGGGUCGUCGACGGAGCGGUACACCGCCGCGGCCGAGUUGUAUGUCAGGAACGCCAAGCCGAGCGCCGGAAGCCAUUGCGAGUCGUUUGCUCUAUCCAUCGUCGACAAAGAGCAUCAGGCU
rnacentral:lncRNA from 1 species